CCUCUGUCCAUGGGAUUUUCCAGGCAAGAGUACUGGAGUGGGGUGCCAGCAUCUUAAAAAUCCUUGAUCCCAGCUGACACAUUCAGAGGUAUAGUGGACAGUUCUCUGGAGCUCAUCCACAGCAUUGAAUGCUUUUACUUUGAGAUCCCGACCUUCUAACAGUAACAGAGCUUGGAUGGUGACCUAACUGUUGGGAAGAUAUUCCUUUGGAAUGAUGGAGGAUGAGAUGGCUGGAUGGCAUCGCCGACUCGAUGGACGUGAGUUUGAGUGAACUCCG